UAGUUGUGAAUCGACGUUACAUCUGAGUGUUCUAAGCGAACUGUUAAAACUUUCAACAACGGAUCUCUUGGCUCCAGCAUCGAUGAAGAACGCAGCGAAACGCGAUAUGUAGUGUGAAUUGCAGAAUUCAGUGAAUCAUCGAAUCUUUGAACGCACAUUGCGCCUUCCAGUAUCCUGGGAGGCAUGCCUGUCCGAGCGUCGUUUCAACCCUCGAGCCCCCGUGGCCCGGUGUUGGGGACGCUGCCCAGCUACCUGGGCAGCCCCCCUAAAUGCAGUGGCGGUCCCGCAAGUCCCAGCCCUUUGCGUAGUAAUAUCAUUCUCGCUCUGGACGGCUCGCGGGCUUACCAGCCUCGAAACCCCCUACAAAGACCGCCCCGGCGGCAACGGUUGACCUCGGAUCAGGUAGGAAUACCCGCUGAACUUAAGCAUAUCAAUAAGCGGAGGAAUC
rnacentral:rRNA from 1 species